CAGGGGAUCUAUAUCACCCUGAACGCGCCCGAUCUCGGGAGCUAAGCAGGGUCGGGCCCGGUUAGUACCAUGU
rnacentral:rRNA from 1 species